AGGUGCAGGAGGAGCCUCAAGCCAGCACCGCGAUUCAAUGUGAUCAUGGCUGAUUAUCCACAAUCAGUACCCCGUUCCUGCCUUCUCCCCAUAUCCCUUGAUUCCGCUCCCCCUCAGAGCUCUAUCAAAGUCUCUUUUGAAUGCGUCCAAUGAAUCGGCCUCCACUGCCUUCUGAGGCAGAGAAUUCCACAAAUACACAAUCUCUUGGGUGUAAAUGUUA